UGGGCGGACGGGUGAGUAAUGUCUGGGAAACUGCCUGAUGGAGGGGGGUAACUACUGGAAACGGUAGCUAAUACCGCAUAACGUCGCAGACCAAAGAGGGGGACCUUAGGGCCUCUUGCCACCGGAUGUGCCCAGAUGGGAUUAGCUAGUAGGUGGGGUAACGGCUCACCUAGGCGACGAUCCCUAGCUGGUCUGAGAGGAUGACCAGCCACACUGGAACUGAGACACGGUCCAG
rnacentral:rRNA from 1 species